CGGGCGGGGCCGGGCCGGGCCGGGCCGCGCGGCUGCUCUCCCCGCGGCGAGGCGGACGCCCGCCCGGCAAAGAAGCGGGGCGAUUUGGACGCGAAGCCGGGCAGCGAGGAGACGCAUCCCGCGGCGCACAGCACACCCGAGCACGAAAACCGGGGCCCGGUCACGCUGCCGGCGAAGCGCUGGGAGAGAAGGGCUCCGCACCCAUGUCACCCCGCCUUGCAGUCCGAUUGGAGCUGGAAAUGUGAAAGAAAAUCGUACUUUUAAGGAAUCCACCAGGUCCUGGACAAGAAAGAGUCUCCUCAGCUCUUUGACUGUACUGUUCACGUACAACUGGAGACAGUCUGUGUAUUUCUGAAUCUGGUCCUGUGAGAGAGACAUUUCCAUCUCCAGGUAGGCUCUG